rnacentral:rRNA from 1 species
AACGAACGCUGGCGGCGCGCCUAACACAUGCAAGUCGAACGAGAAGGCGUAGCAAUACGCUUGUAGAGUGGCGAACGGGUGAGUAAUACGUGGGUGACCUACCCUCGAGUGGGGAAUAACCCGCCGAAAGGCGGGCUAAUGCCGCGUACGCUUCCGUCCUCACGGGGACGGAAGGAAAGCUGUACCGUGGGUACGGCGCUCAAGGGUGGGCUCACGUCCUAUCAGCUUGUUGGUAGGGUAACGCCUACCAAGGCUACGACGGGUAGCUGGUCUGAGAGGACGAUCAGCCACACUGGCACUGCGACACGGGCCAGACUCCUACGGGAGGCAGCAGU